rnacentral:rRNA from 1 species
UGCAGCAGGCGCGAAAACUUUACCAUGCGGGAAACCGUGAUAAGGGGACACCGAGUGCCAGCAUCAUAUGCUGGCUGUCCAGGUGUGUAAACUACACCUGUUAGCAAGGGCCGGGCAAGACCGGUGCCAGCCGCCGCGGUAACGCCGGCGGCCCGAGUGGUGAUCGUGAUUAUUGGGUCUAAAGGGUCCGUAGCCGGUUUGGUCAGUCCUCCGGGAAAUCUGACGGCUCAACCGUUAGGCUUUCGGGGGAUACUGCCAGGCUUGGAACCGGGAGAGGUAAGAGGUACUACAGGGGUAGGAGUGAAAUCUUGUAAUCCCUGUGGGACCACCUGUGGCGAAGGCGUCUUACCAGAACGGGUUCGACGGUGAGGGACGAAAGCUGGGGGCACGAACCGGAUUAGAUACCCGGGUAGUCCCAGCCGUAAACGAUGCUCGCUAGGUGUCAGGCAUGGCGCGACCGUGUCUGGUGCCGCAGGGAAGCCGUGAAGCGAGCCACCUGGGAAGUACGGCCGCAAGGCUGAAACUUAAAGGAAUUGGCGGGGGAGCAC